AUUGAACGCUGGCGGUAUGCUUAACACAUGCAAGUCGAACGGUAGCAGGCCUUCGGGCGCUGACGAGUGGCGGACGGGUGAGUAACGCGUAGGAAUCUGCCUCAUAGUGGGGGACAACGUGUGGAAACGCACGCUAAUACCGCAUACGCCCUACGGGGGAAAGCGGGGGCCUUUGGGCCUCGCGCUAUGAGAUGAGCCUGCGUUAGAUUAGCUAGCUGGUGGGGUAAAGGCCUACCAAGGCGACGAUCUAUAGCUGGUCUGAGAGGACGAUCAGCCAGACUGGGACUGAGAAACGGCCCAGACUCCUACGGGAGGCAGCAGUGGGGAAUAUUGGACAAUGGGCGCAAGCCUGAUCCAGCAAUACCGCGUGUGUGAAGAAGGCCCUAGGGUUGUAAAGCACUUUCAAUAGGGAGGAAAACCUGCCGGUCAAUACCCGGUAGCUUGACAUUACCUAUACAAGAAGCACCGGCUAACUCCGUGCCAGCCGCCGCGGUAACAC
rnacentral:rRNA from 1 species